rnacentral:lncRNA from 1 species
UGUAAUCUAGAAAAUAGGGAGAGAGAAGAGGAGAGCGGAGGAGGAGCCGGAUCUGUCGGAUCUUCCUCAACAUUGUACUUUUACAGCAUCUGGUUCGUUCUUCAUCGUUCUCCAGGUUCUUCAAUUCAUAAUUCCUGAGUUCUUUAAUUACUUUUAUUUACAUUCAAGUUAUUUAUUGGAUUCCCGCUUGCAUCAAGUGCUCUAAUCUUUGAAACAUUAGAGUAGUAAUUAAUAGAUUAGACGUGGUGUUUAGUCUUGCAAUUACCUAGAAUUGCACCCAAUCCUGCGGAUUGUUGUGGUAGCCUUAGGGUAGUGACAGCCCUAACGGUCGACGUAUUCCACCUCGUUCGGAUCGGUGUUUGUAGGACCAU